rnacentral:rRNA from 1 species
AACGAACGCUGGCGGCAGGCUUAACACAUGCAAGUCGAACGAGGUCUUCGGAUCUAGUGGCAGACGGGUGAGGAACACGUGGGAACAUCCCUUUCAGUUCGGAAUAACGUUGGGAAACUAACGCUAAUACCGGAUACGUCCUUCGGGAGAAAGAUUUAUCGCUGAAAGAUUGGCCCGCGUCUGAUUAGCUAGUUGGUGAGGUAACGGCUCACCAAGGCUACGAUCAGUAGCUGAUCUGAGAGGAUGAUCAGCCACAUUGGGACUGAGACACGGCCCAAACUCCUACGGGAUGCAGCAGUGGGGAAUAUUGGACAAUGGGCGCAAGCCUGAUCCAGCCAUGCCGCGUGAGUGAUGACGGCCUUCGGGUUGUAAAGCUCUUUUGUCCGGGAAGAUAAUGACUGUACCGGAAGAAUAAGCCCCGGCAAACUUCGUGCCAGCCGCCGCGGUAA